AGAAUAAUAGAGCCAGACAACUUGAAGUUGAUAUAAAUAACUUGUCACUUGAGGAGCGAACUGGGGAUAAUCAAACUGGUUUAAAGGAGGAAACAAUUACGAAGCUUCUAAAGCGAAGAAAGUAUAAAUAUGUUCGCCAUGAGCGUGAGCGUGAGAUUCUUUCAGAUGCUCAAGAAUGCCUCAUAUGCAAAGAAUAUUAUGUUGACGGAGAAGAAAUUGGAAAGUUACAAUGCGGUCACGAGUUUCAUGCAGAGUGUAUCAAAAAAGUGCUCCUUUCAAUUAACGAAUGCACAAUUUGCUCCGACAAAGGCUUGAAUGCAUAACUUGCUAACGCCUUUUGUAGGAAAUUAGGAGUACAAUAUUUGUAACAUCAAUGUUAUAUUCAUAUGGCAAAUAUUUUUGGUUCUACAUAAAUGUUGAGCAUUUCUUGAGCUUUUAAAUAUUGUUCAUGAU